rnacentral:rRNA from 1 species
CCCGCACAAGCGGUGGAGCAUGUGGUUUAAUUCGAAGCAACGCGAAGAACCUUACCAGGUCUUGACAUCCCCUGACAACCGAGAGAUCGGGCGUUCCCCUUCGGGGGACAGGGUGACAGGUGGUGCAUGGUUGUCGUCAGCUCGUGUCGUGAGAUGUUGGGUUAAGUCCCGCAACGAGCGCAACCCUUGUCACUAGUUGCCAUCAUUUAGUUGGGCACUCUAGUGAGACUGCCGGUGACAAACCGGAGGAAGGUGGGGAUGACGUCAAGUCCUCAUGGCCCUUAUGGGUAGGGCUUCACACGUGCUACAAUGGGCGGUACAAAGGGUCGCGAACCCGCGAGGGGGAGCCAAUCCCAAAAAGCCGCUCUCAGUUCGGAUUGCAGGCUGCAACUCGCCUGCAUGAAGCCGGAAUCGCUAGUAAUCGCGGAUCAGCAUGCCGCGGUCGAAUACGUUCCCGGGCCUU